GAAAACCACCCCGAUGAGGGGAGUGAAACAGUACCUGAAACCGGAUGCUUACAAGCUGAGGGAGCUCUUCGGAGUGACCUCGUACCUUUUGUAUAAUGGGUCAACGACUUAGUGUUGUAUGCAAGCUUAAACCGUUAGGUGUAGGCGCAGCGAAAGCGAGUCUGAAUAGGGCGACCGAGUAUGCAGCAUUAGACCCGAAGGCAAGUGAUCUAGGUAUGGGCAGGGUGAAGGUGCAGUAACAUGCACUGGAGGCCCGAACCGUUGAGCGUUGAAAAGCUCUCGGAUGACCUGUGCCUAGGGGUGAAAGGCCAAUCAAACUCGGAGAUAGCUGGUUCUCUGCGAAAUCUAUUUAGGUAGAGCGUCGUCUGAAUACCCUCGGGGGUAGAGCACUGAAUGGGUAAUGGGGGCCCACAGCCUUACUGAUCCUAAUCAAACUCCGAAUACCGAGGAGUACUAGACGGCAGACACACAGCGGGUGCUAACGUCCGUCGUGGAGAGGGAAACAACCCUGACCUACAGCUAAGGCCCCUAAUUCAUGGCUAAGUGGGAAAGCAGGUGGGACGACCAAAACAACCAGGAUGUUGGCUUAGAAGCAGCCAUCAUUUAAAGAAAGCGUAAUAGCUCACUGGUCGAGUCGGCCUGCGCGGAAGAUGUAACGGGGCUAAAACUAUAUGCCGAAGCUGCGGAUUUGCAAUUUAUUGCAAGUGGUAGGGGAGCGUUCUGUAAGCCGAUGAAGGUGUAUUGAGAAGUAUGCUGGAGGUAUCAGAAGUGCGAAUGCUGACGUGAGUAACGACAAUGCGAGUGAAAAACUCGCACGCUGAAAGACCAAGGGUUCCAGUCCAACGUUAAUCGGGGCUGGGUGAGUCGACCCCUAAGGCGAGGCCGAAAGGCGUAGUCGAUGGGAAACAGGUUAAUAUUCCUGUACU
rnacentral:rRNA from 1 species